GGACCGGUAGGCGGAGGGGACCAGCAGGCUGAGGGGAUGCGCCUCCAAAUCGAGGGCGGAUACAUGUUCCCUGUUCUCAACUCACCGCCAAAUAGUGCAAUCGCUCCAGAAGCUUUUGGAAAAAAAUAUCAUUCAGCCUAAAAGGCUAAUUUUAUGCUCUACUCGAAAUGACUGCCAAGUUUUUGAAAAAUGCCAGAGUUAAAAGGCUUUUGUGAAAAGGGUGCUCUGGGAGAAGGAAGGAGAAGUGAAGGAAUGUUCUCACCCAGACACUACCUCACUGUAGUAAGAAAAACAGAAUAAAGUAAAAUGAAAUGAAAGGUUUGCUUUUCACUUUUGAGAAAGAGCAGCCAGCUCAGCACACAAGGAGCCCUUCUGAAAUUUUAAGGACUUCUAAUUAUAACAAAUAAGCCUGGCCUCAGACUAACGUCCAUCGCUGAGAUUAACAACCUCCAGCUGCUUGGAGAAGUUUAGCUCCUCCGUAGACUCCUUCCAGCUCAUGUAGCGAAUCCUUGUUUGUCUACAAUGUUGAAGGAAUGGAGGAUUUCUAGUCUAUUAAUUAAUUCAGACAUUGCCAGAGGAGAUGGAAAUCUGCACGAUGGGCAGGAGCAGACAGGUGGGAGGCUCGGCACGACCAAGGACCUGGAGGAAAUAAUUUUACCAAAAGUCAGCAGAGUUAUUGAGCACCUGCCGUGUGGAAGCCUCUGCCAUAUGUUAUGAGAAGUACAAAGAACAGGACCUUUGAUCGAACUGGGGGCACAGCUUAUUUAGGUGACAAAGAUAAGUGCAAACAUUGACUGAGUGCUUACUAUGUGCCAGGCAUGGUGGUUUGGUGAAUAUAACUCAUUAAUCCUUGCAGUAAACUCAAGAGAAGGGCGCUGGCAUUGUCUUUUUCAACAGGUCAGGGGAUGACACACAGGUGGGCUAAGUAGCUUGCACAAGGUCACCCAACUCAUCGAUGGCUGGGCCAGGAUUUGAUCUCAGACAGUCUGACUCCAUAACAUAUUCACUUAACCCUGUGCACUACUCAGCACAUAGGAAGUCACAGGUGACCACUGACAGGCAAAAUUUUGCAUCUCACCAGUAAUUCAGGGCAGCAGGAGACUGUAGGUUAGGAUGUUCAUUAAAGUACUCAAAGAGAUAGUAGAUUUGAGUUGGCUGCAGAAAGCUGGGUGAAAUUUCAAAACAAAGGCAGGGAACUCUAGGCAAGAGGGAAGGAUGGGCAACACCAUAGAGGCAGGAGGGGGCUCCAGCCGUUCUGAGGUACUAUGGUCAAUAGGGCCCAAUGCACCGUUCUGGGUAAUGAAGAUCGAAAAAGACAAAUUCCAUGCUUUCAUGUACCUUAUAGAAUAAAUAGCUUCAAAAAUAAAGAUAGACUUGUCCAGUGGUGACAUGUGCUAUGAAAAAAAUAAUAUAAAGGGAUAGAAAGGGACAAAGGAGGUGCUGCUAUCUUAUAUAGCGUGUGAAGGAAACAGCCUCUCUGAGAAGGUGACGUUUCGCCAGACACCGAAAGGAAGAAGAGGAGGGAGUCAUGGGGAAACCUGGAGAUGAGGCAUUUCCAGGAAGAAGGAACAGAAAAUCCAAAGGCCCUAGGGGAGUGGAUUCUUAUCGAGUUUGAGGAAAGUAAGGAGGCCAGUAUGGCUGGAGCGGAACAAGUGAAAAGUAGAGAGGUGGGAGGUGAAACCCAACAGGUAGCUGGGGCCAGGUUCUACAGAGUUUUGUGGACCAUCGCGAAGGCUCUGAAUUUUCUUCUGCUCAAGACUUUCCAACAGCCUCCCAUCUGACUCAAUGGGGCAACAUAUGGACCUUCUGUUUUAUAAAGAUCGCUCUGGCCGAAGGCUCCUUGGAUCAAGGAGUAAGUGAGCAGAAUGUUUUUUCAAGUAUAUUCGACUAGGUGAGAUACAGGAAACCAAAGAAACUCUAAACUAGUAAGGGCAUAG
rnacentral:lncRNA from 1 species